rnacentral:rRNA from 1 species
UACGUAGGGUGCGAGCGUUGUCCGGAAUUAUUGGGCGUAAAGAGCUUGUAGGCGGUCUGUCGCGUCUGCUGUGAAAAUCCGGGGCUCAACCCCGGACUUGCAGUGGGUACGGGCAGACUAGAGUGUGGUAGGGGAGACUGGAAUUCCUGGUGUAGCGGUGGAAUGCGCAGAUAUCAGGAGGAACACCAAUGGCGAAGGCAGAUCUCUGGGCCGUAACUGACGCUGAGGAGCGAAAGCAUGGGGAGCGAACAGG